rnacentral:tRNA from 6 species
UGCGGGGUGGAGCAGCCUGGUAGCUCGUCGGGCUCAUAACCCGAAGGUCGCAGGUUCAAAUCCUGCCCCCGCUA